GUCCUACGUGAUCUGAGUUCAGACCGGAGNNNNNNAGGUCAGUUUCUAUCUAUAAAAGAUUUUUUCUAGUACGAAAGGACCGAAAAAAUAGAGCCCCUUAAUAAACAAAGCUCUCAUACUGCUGAAAACAAAUAAAGGCCCCCACAAAAUACACCUUAAGAACAAAGGACAA
rnacentral:rRNA from 1 species